rnacentral:rRNA from 1 species
AGAGGUUGAUCCUGGCUCAGAACGAACGCUGGCGGCAGGCUUAACACAUGCAAGUCGAGCGCCCUGUUUACAGGGAGCGGCAGACGGGUGAGUAACGCGUGGGUAUGUUCCCUAGGGUACGGAAUAGCUCCGGGAAACUGGAAUUAAUACCGUAUACGUCCUUCGGGAGAAAGAUUUAUCGCCCCUGGAUGGGCCCGCGUCGGAUUAGCUUGUUGGUGGGGUAAUGGCCCACCAAGGCUUCGAUCGGUAGCUGGUCUGAGAGGAUGACCAGCCACACUGGGACUGAGACACGGCCCAGACUCCUACGGGAGGCAGCAGUGGGGAAUAUUGGACAAUGGGCGAAAGCCUGAUCCAGCCAUGCCGCGUGAGUGAAGAAGGCCUUAGGGUUGUAAAGCUCUUUCGGCGAGGAAGAUAAUGACGGUACUCGCAGAAGAAGCCCCGGCUAACUCCGUGCCAGCAGCCGCGGUAAUACGGAGGGAGCUAGCGUUGUUCGGAAUUACUGGGCGUAAAGCGCGCGUAGGCGGCUUGACAAGUUGAGGGUGAAAUCCCGGGGCUCAACCCCGGAACUGCCCUUGAAACUGGAUGGCUAGAGACCGGAAGAGGUGAGUGGAAUACCUAGUGUAGAGGUGAAAUUCGUAGAUAUUGGGCAGAACACCAGUGGCGAAGGCGGCUCUCUGGUCCGGUACUGACGCUGAGGUGCGAAAGCGUGGGGAGCGAACAGGAUUAGUUACCCUGGUAGUCCACGCCGUAAACGAUGAAUGCUAGAUGUUGGGCAGCUUGCUGUUCAGUGUCGCAGCUAACGCAUUAAGCACUCCGCCUGGGGAGUACGGCCGCAAGGUUAAAACUCAAAGGAAUUGACGGGAGCCCGCACAAGCGGUGGAGCAUGUGGUUUAAUUCGACGCAACGCGAAGAACCUUACCAGCCCUUGACAUCCUAAUCGCGAUUGGUGGAGACACCUUUCUUCAGUUCGGCUGGAUUAGUGACAGUUGCUGCAUGGCUGUCGUCAGCUCGUGUCGUGAGAUGUUGGGUUAAGUCCCGCAACGAGCGCAACCCUCGCCCUUAGUUGCCAUCAUUAAGUUGGGCACUCUAGGGGAACUGCCGGUGAUAAACCGGAGGAAGGUGGGGAUGACGUCAAGUCCUCAUGGCCCUUAUGGGUUGGGCUACACACGUGCUACAAUGGCGGCGACAGAGGGCAGCGACCCCGCGAGGGUGAGCAAAUCCCCAAAAGUCGUCUCAGUUCGGAUUGUUCUCUGCAACUCGAGAGCAUGAAGUUGGAAUCGCUAGUAAUCGCAGAACAGCAUGCUGCGGUGAAUACGUUCCCGGGCCUUGUACACACCGCCCGUCACAUCAUGGGAGUUGGCUUUACCCGAAGGUAGUGUGCUAACCGCAAGGAGGCAGCAGGCCACGGUAAGGUCAGCGACUAGGGUGAAGUCGUAACAAGGUAACC